UACGGAGGGUGCAAGCGUUGCUCGGAAUUAUUGGGCGUAAAGGGUGCGUAGGCGGUUUGGUAAGUCUUAUGUGAAAUCUACAGGCUCAACUUGUAGUCUGCAUGAGAAACUGCCGGGCUUGAGUAUGGGAGAGGUGAGUGGAAUUCCUGGUGUAGCGGUGAAAUGCGUAGAUAUCAGGAGGAACACCUGUGGCGAAAGCGGCUCACUGGACCAUAACUGACGCUGAUGCACGAAAGCUAGGGGAGCAAACAGG
rnacentral:rRNA from 1 species